GCCUGUUUAACAAAAACACCGCCUUUUGGGAAUAUAAAAGGUCUGGCCUGCCCACUGUAAGUAAAGGGCCGCAGUAUUUUGACUGUGCAAAGGUAGCAUAAUCAUUAGUCUUUUAAUUGAAGGCUGGUAUGAAUGGUUGGAUGAGGUAAAAGCUGUCUCUUAUAAAUAAACUAGAAUUUAGCUUCUUAGUCAAAAGUCUGAGAUAAAAUUAGAGGACGAGAAGACCCUAUAGAUCUUUAUAGAGCUAUGUAGGAUUAAAAGAUGAGUUAGAAUCCUAUAAAAUCUUUAUUUGGUUGGGGUGACAAGGAAAUAAAUUAACUUUCUUACAUAUUACACUGAUUAGUGAAUAAGGGAUCCAUACGUUAUGAUUAAAAGAGUAAGUUACCUUAGGGAUAACAGCAUAAUCUUUCUAGAGAGUUCAAAUCGAUAGAAGGGGUUGUGACCUCGAUGUUGGACUAAGGUUUAACCCAGGUGCAGCAGUCUGGGAUAAUGGUCUGUUCGACCAGUAAUAUCUUACAUGAUCUGAGUUCAAACCGGAGCUCC
rnacentral:rRNA from 1 species